AUGCUCCGGUCUGAGUGUCUCUGUCUGAUGGUCACCAUGUUCAGUCUGAACCGAGCGGCUCUGCUUCAACUAUUAGCUAUGUGCCAAGUUUUUGCAGGCCAUUGGGUCAUGUACCACAGGGAUAUUCUGGUGUCCAGGGGAGAAUCUGUCACGUUGACUUGCAACACAUCUGAGGACAAUUUCACACAAAUCAGCUGGACCAAAGACAGAUUUAGUUUUGUUCGUUCAAUUCUACUUAAUCAGACUUUUUCGAAUCUAACCUCUAACAGACUGACAAUAGACAGAAACUUACCUUUAAAGCUGAAUGUUUCUAAUUCUCAACAUGAAGAUGCAGGACUCUACACAUGUACAGUAACUAGUGACCAGUGGUGAAAGGAUAACAGAAUUGAAUAUGACAGUGUCUGAGGCACCUGAAGGUAAGUAGAGCUCAGACAGGACUAAUCAUCUCUUCAGAAUUUGUACAUUUCAAAACUCACACUUCCUGCUACUUUAAUUGACACCUGAUAUCUUGCAGGAGUUGUUGUCAGUUCAUCAUGGGAUCUUCUAUACAUACUCACAUGUGUGAUUGGACUUCUCUGUGCUACAGCAGUCUGUCUCUGCAGGUGAGUAAUACCAUAACACAUUUUAGGUAGUGACAUAGUUUUAUCAAUUGAAAAUAACGUUUAGAGAAUUGAGCAGCGACACAUUUUCAGAAAGACUUCUGUCUCGUCAGCCAUCUUUUCUCCCUCUUCUCUUCAGCUCUCUUGAAGCUGUAUUAAAAACACAACUAGUGAAAAAGACUAUCUGCUGUGGAAUAUGUUAACUGUUCUUCCAAAGUAAGGUCCAUUUAUCUGCAUUUUGUUAUGCAGAAAUGUUAAAAUAUGUAAUUUGGGUGACUCAGUUGUUUGACUCUAUUUUUGCAGCAGCACAAAAACUCAUGCAACCACAGGUAUUUUACCAACCUUGAAAUGUCCUUUACCUUUAGUCGAAGUAUUUUUGUGCACAGUCAGGAGGAAGUGCACACAGGAAAGUGUUAAUAAAUGAGGUCAGGGCCAUAGCCACGGUAUGAACCACACACUGAGCUCAAAGUUUAUGUCUUACAAUUAAAAAAAUAAACACAGUGGUUAUUUUACAUGUCAAUUCAAGUGUGUUUAAACUCAUUAAUAUACUUAAAUCACAUUACUUUUAAACCAGUUAGGACACUAUGUAAGCAUAUUUAUAACAGAAUUACUAAUCUUUCCAGACAAAUACUCAAUUGAAAACUGCAUAAAGGCAACAUAGUAAAUGCUUUAACUCAUCAUACAGGUUUCAAACAAGUUGGUACAGGGGCAACAACAAUAAGACAACAAAAGACUGGAAAAGCUGUUGGAUGCUCCAAAAACAUUGCAAAUUGUUUCCUUCUGUAUGCUUUUAAGUUUUACAUAAAAUAUUACUAUGAAAAGAAAAGAAAAAAAAAACGAUGUUAAAAAUUAAAUUUUGGAUACCUUAGUCAAGACUACAGGUGGAGCCUUGACCUGGUUGCUUCAAAUCUUAUACUAUAUUUUAUAUUUAAUUAUUUGUAGGAUAGUCCCUUAAGAUGAAUCAUCUUGUUUUCAAGGGAGUCCUUAACAUGUAUACAGACAAUAACAAGACAAAAAAUUCAGCAUUACAUUACAUUACUGAACAUACAGGAGUAGGACAGAACAUUACAACAAAACAAUACAAAUACAAUUACAAGACGAUAACAUCCACACAAUACACUCUUGACCCAAACCGUUCCCUGCCCCCCCAGUCCGUCUAGAUUC
rnacentral:lncRNA from 1 species